UACGAAGGGGGCUAGCGUUGCUCGGAAUUACUGGGCGUAAAGGGCGCGUAGGCGGAUACUUAAGUCGGGGGUGAAAGCCCGGGGCUCAACCUCGGAAUUGCCUUCGAUACUGGGUAUCUUGAGUUCGGGAGAGGUGAGUGGAAUGCCGAGUGUAGAGGUGAAAUUCGUAGAUAUUCGGAAGAACACCAGUGGCGAAGGCGACUUACUGGACACAUAUUGACGCUGAGGUGCGAAAGCGUGGGGAGCAAACAGG
rnacentral:rRNA from 1 species